ACAUUUCCAUCGGGCAUCGGCCAUUUCAAUUAACAGGAAUUCAUUUGUCAUUUUCGUCAUAAUCAAAAGUAUCUUUACAGAAUUACAGCGAAAGCACCUCGCCGGAAAUAGCUUGCUUUGUUCCAUGCGACUCUGUUCUUCAUCUGAAUUCGAGUGGCUUGAGAAGCUUUCGUCACACCAAAACGGAAGCCUACUCAUCCUUCGAUUAUUCCAUUCUUAGCUUGUCAAUGAGGAAGGCAGGUUGCAUGGGGAAGGCAAAUUGACAAUCUUGUUGUGCAGCAUUGAGAUUACAGAAUCCAUGGUCGAGACCACCACUUGACAGCCUUUGUGUGUCAAUCAGUUUUUCACUCCACAUCAUACAACCAAUGCCCGCAUCAUG